AUUUAUCUUAGAUUGGACGGCUUAACCACUGUGACCAAGGUAAUUUCUAGGAAGUGGCAGUCCCUCAAUCUUAACCACAACAGUCUAGGGAGGUCACAGCCGCGCUCUUCUCACUGACUCAGAGGCACCAGACAGGCAGGAGUCUGAAUCAGAGGUCACCAUCAUAGCCCAAGGACCCCGUUCUCAUGGCCCAGAGCACAGAAAGAAGAAGUGACACAUCCAAUGUCACACGAAGACUGAGUGGCAGGGGAGGGGGGAUUGUAACUCAGGCUCCCUCCUCUACAUCAGCCAGACACUUCUACCGAGCACCAAGGACCAAAGCUCUGUGCCAGGCAGCUGGGGACCCAAGGACACUAGGAGGAAUAAAUCAGGGUGGGCGCUGGCCCUCAGGGAGCUUCUGUCUUGCUGAGGAGACAACACCAGCCAGCACUCAGCCAUCUUAAUUAAUUAUUUUAUUUUUUUCUUUACUUUUCUGUUUUUUAGACAGGGUCUCACUCUGUUGCCCAGGCUGUCAGGCUGGAGUACAGUAGUGUGAUCACAGCUCACUGCAACUUCCGUCUCCGGGGCUCAAGCAAUCCUCCCUCCCACCUAAGCCUCCUGAACAGCUGGGACUACAAGCACACACCACCACACCUGGCU
rnacentral:lncRNA from 1 species